rnacentral:rRNA from 1 species
UGUCAGCAGCCGCGGUAAUACCAGCACCUCAAGCGGUCAGGAUGAUUAUUGGGCCUAAAGCAUCCGUAGCCGGCGCUAUAAGUUUUCGGUUAAAUCUGUACGCUCAACGUACAGGCUGCCGGGAAUACUGUAGCGCUAGGGAGUGGGAGAGGUAGACGGUACUCGGUAGGAAGGGGUAAAAUCCUUUGAUCUAUUGAUGACCACCUGUGGCGAAGGCGGUCUACCAGAACACGUCCGACGUUGAGGGAUGAAAGCUGGGUGAGCAAACCGGAUUAGAUA